rnacentral:rRNA from 1 species
UACGUAGGUGGCAAGCGUUGUCCGGAUUUACUGGGCGUAAAGCGCGUGUAGGCGGCUUUGCAAGUCGGGUGUGAAAGCCCUCAGCUCAACUGAGGAAGUGCGCCCGAAACUGCAGAGCUUGAGUACCGGAGAGGGUGGCGGAAUUCCCCAAGUAGAGGUGAAAUUCGUAGAUAUGGGGAGGAACACCGGUGGCGAAGGCGGCCACCUGGACGGUUACUGACGCUGAGACGCGAAAGCGUGGGGAGCAAACAGG